CUCACCAUGAAGAUUCAACUCUCCUUAUUCCUGCUACUAAUCAGCAUCAUCAGUAUUCAGUGUCAAAGUCUUGAGUCUAUUCCAACUGGGUCAGUGUUGAAAAAGCCUGGAGAAACACUGAGUCUUUCCUGUAAAGGAUCUGGGUUUAAUUUUGGUAGUUAUGGCAUGCACUGGAUCAGACAAGAAGCUGGAAAAGCACUGGAAUGGAUUGGGCUUAUCUGGUAUGAUGCCAGUAAAACAGUAUACGCCAAACACAUUGAGGGACGUUUGGAAAUUACCAGAGACAACUCCAACAACAUGGUGUACCUGCAGCUGACUGGCUUGACUGUACACGACUCUGCUGUAUAUUACUGUGCAGGAAACCACAGUGGUACAAACAUGUUACUCAGCUGUACAAAAUCCCCAUAG